AAUCCAUAGGUUAAUGAGGCGAACCGGGGGAACUGAAACAUCUAAGUACCCCGAGGAAAAGAAAUCAACCGAGAUUCCCCCAGUAGCGGCGAGCGAACGGGGAGGAGCCCAGAGCCUGAAUCAGCAUGUGUGUUAGUGGAAGCGUCUGGAAAGGCGCGCGAUACAGGGUGACAGCCCCGUACACAAAAGCGCAUGUGCUGUGAGCUCGAUGAGUAGGGCGGGACACGUGGUAUCCUGUCUGAAUAUGGGGGGACCAUCCUCCAAGGCUAAAUACUCCUGACUGACCGAUAGUGAACCAGUACCGUGAGGGAAAGGCGAAAAGAACCCCGGCGAGGGGAGUGAAAAAGAACCUGAAACCGUGUACGUACAAGCAGUGGGAGCACCCUUUGGGUGUGACUGCGUACCUUUUGUAUAAUGGGUCAGCGACUUAUAUUCUGUAGCAAGGUUAACCGAAUAGGGGAGCCGGAGGGAAACCGAGUCUUAACCGGGCGUUAAGUUGCAGGGUAUAGACCCGAAACCCGGUGAUCUAGCCAUGGGCAGGUUGAAGGUUGGGUAACACUAACUGGAGGACCGAACCGACUAAUGUUGAAAAAUUAGCGGAUGACCUGUGGCUGGGGGUGAAAGGCCAAUCAAACCGGGAGAUAGCUGGUUCUCCCCGAAAGCUAUUUAGGUAGCGCCUCGUGAAUUCAUCUCCGGGGGUAGAGCACUGUUUCGGCUAGGGGGCCAUCCCGGCUUACCAACCCGAUGCAAACUGCGAAUACCGGAGAAUGUUAUCACGGGAGACACACGGCGGGUGCUAACGUCCGUCGUGAAGAGGGAAACAACCCAGACCGCCAGCUAAGGUCCCAAAGUCAUGGUUAAGUGGGAAACGAUGUGGGAAGGCCCAGACAGCCAGGAUGUUGGCUUAGAAGCAGCCAUCAUUUAAAGAAAGCGUAAUAGCUCACUGGUCGAGUCGGCCUGCGCGGAAGAUGUAACGGGGCUAAACCAUGCACCGAAGCUGCGGCAGCGACACUGUGUGUUGUUGGGUAGGGGAGCGUUCUGUAAGCCUGUGAAGGUGUGUCGUGAGGCAUGCUGGAGGUAUCAGA
rnacentral:rRNA from 1 species